AAUGAAGGAAAGAAUGAAUGGGAUAAGAUAUAUGCACUUGAGCCUGACAUAGUGUUUCAGCUUCUGUGAUGAGAGUCAUUACUAAGUAAUCAGGAGUCUGAUAAAGACUUGCCUUGAAAUUUUCUGCAGGAGAAUCUCCUCUACAAUCUUUUUUUUUUCUUUUUUUUUUAACGGCCACGCUUACUGCAUAUGAAAGUUCCCAAGCCAGGGCUUGAAUCUGAGCUGCCGCUGUAGCAACACCAGAUCUUUUAACCCACUGUGCCAGGAGGGGAUGAACCCAUGCCUUUGCAGCCACCCAAGCUGCUACAGUUAGUUUCUUAACCCACUGUACCACAGAAGGAACUCCUUACAUCCAUUUUAAUUUCCUGUACUAUACUGAAAAGUAUAUAUUUUCUUGCCAAGUAAGACUAUGUAAGACUGUGGGAAAUCCAGUAUGGUGGUCGGGAGUAUGGGCUGGGAACUCAGCUGAUGCUCUGAGUAUUAUUUGUUGUGGAAUCCUGGGUCUUUCUUUAACCUUUCCCAGCCACAGUUCCUCAUCUAUAACAUGGAGAUGGAGUAGGGCUUUCAUGAAAUUUAGACAACAGGCUCAACACAGAACAAGGGAACGAUAAGUAGCAGGUUUAAUGUUUACAAAAGGAGACUGGAAAGAGACGGCAUAGAAAGGAAUGGGUAAUGCAGGUGUGGUAGAAAGCGCCUUGCUGGGAGUGGGGCCACUAAGAUCAAUAUGUCAAUAUUUAAAACGCAGUUGUAUUUUUACACAGGAUCAAUAAGUAAACUGGAAGCGAAAUUAAGAAAACCAUUCCAUUUACAGUAGCAUCAAAAGAACAAAAUAUUUAGGAAUAAGUUUAACAAUAAUGUACAGUUUAUAUUCUGAAAACUACAGAAAAUUGUUGAAAGAAAUUAAAGAUGAUUUAAAUAAAUGGAAAGACAACCCAGGUUCAUGGUUUGGAAGACUUAAUAUUAUUGACAUUUGCUCUCCAAAUUGAUCUACACAUUCAAUUUACUCUCAAGAUCCUGUUCAAGAUGGGAGAUCAAAUCCCCAAUUAAACUUAAGAUGGCUGUAGGUCAGUGUGGCCAGUUUUUCUAAGACAGGAAAGCCAAGAAAACCUUAAACUUAAAGGACUUUGUUAAAGGGGAAUGAUUUGAAAAAUAGUUAGGACCAUCCCCAAAGGUGUAGUAACUUCAUUGUAAUCUAAUUAAUACAACCCCCUGUCUCCCCAUCUAAUCUUAUCCCUUUGAAUCUAUGGAGCCCUACACAGGGUACUUUGAGCCUGGUGCCUUCUGGAUGCCCCCUACUUGACUGAAACAAACUCAGGUAUCACCAGAAGAGCCUUGUAACAAAAACAGGCGGGUCUAGGAGUUACAAGACCUGGGUUAGAAUUCCUGUAUGUGCAAGCUUGGCCAACUCAACUUCGUUGAUCCUGUUUCCCUCACUUAUAGGAAAGGAUCAUUCAGUGGUGCACUGGUAAAUGUUUAACCAUCAGCUCUCCGUUUGCCAGUUUCUGUGGUGUAAAUACUCUCACCCCAGCCAAUUUCCAGCCACCAGUGAGUUGGGAAUAGAUAUGCACAACUAGCUCUCAUGAGCUGGUAACUGCCAGCUCCAGCAACACCUCUUAAUACUUAGGUUACAGGGUUUUUAAGAUGAUUAAAUGUGAACUGUAUGAAAAAUAAUUAGUGGAGUGCUUUAGUAGAGCAUCAGUAAGUAAAUACCUAUUGGGUGAGGUGCUCAGAAAGGAGGCAUUUAUUUUGGGCCCACUCCGAGGGGUGAAGCUUAGGCUGGUUCACUGGGAGAAAAGCUGGUGGGCUGGGGAACGGAAGUAUGAGAAAGAGAAUGAAACUGAGCUCUUAUCUCAAUAUCGGUAUCUGGGAGGGCAUUGAGGGUAGCAUCUUCCUGAAGGAAGUUCUGUGAUUUCUGGAGCCUAGUGGGCCGCUGGUUAUUUAUGGCAGGGGUUCUCAAACUUUAUCAUGCCUUAGAAUUUUCUGGAGUAUUUGCUAAAACAGAUUGCUGGGUUGUAACUGCAGAGUUUCUGAUCCAGUAGGUAUAGGGUAAAACUGAGUAUUUGCAUUUCCAAGAAAUUCCCAGGUGAUGCUUGACACGCCUGUUUGGGACUCACACCUGGAGAACACCGAAAUUAUAGCAAUGAAGGCUAGGGGGCUAGAGAUGGAGUAUUCUCUGUCUUGGCGGGUAUCUCUGGCUCUCUUUCUCCAGGGUUCAGGGCUCCAUAUUCCUCCUCUUGCCUCUCUGUGCUGCUUUGGCAAAAAUGAUUUCUUUUAUUUGGCAAAAAUGAACUGCGUGUGAUUAUCUCUGAAGGUAAGACAGGGUGAUUUAUAUGAGUUCAUUUGUCAUUUUUCUUGAACAAUGAUUACAAAUUUCCUGUGGAGGACAGUUACAGCUGCAAAGAUGUUGUGUUCUUUGCCAUGAACAGCUUUCUACCUAGGACUUCACUGGGGAACCAGGCUGGGCAAGGGACUUGGGAGAGAAUGGAUCACCAGGAAGUAUGAGGACUGGUGAACAGUCAGAUCCUGGGGCUGUGCUGUCCAUAUCAGCCACAUGUGGCUUUUACAAUUUCAUUCAAAGUAGAUAAAGUCUGGAGUUCCCUGGUGGCCUAGCAGUUAGGGAUUCGGUGUUGUCAUUUCUGUGUCUCGGAUUUGAUCCCUGGCUUGGGAACUUCUGCAUGCCAUGGCCAUGGACAAAAAAAUUAAAAAGGAGAUAAAAUCUAAAACUCAUUUCCUUGAUUAUACUAACUACUUUUCAAGUCCUCCAUGAUCACAUGUGGCUAGUGGCUAUCACACAGGAUGGCUCAGAUAGAACCUUCCCACCAUGGCCGGAAGUUCUAUGGGACAGCACUGGUCCAGAGGACGAAUGAAGAGAAGGUGGGGAAGGCUUUGAGGAUGAAGGGAUUGGUGAUAUCCCUCGAGAAAUGAGCUUCUGCCCCAUCCAUAUCAGGCUGGGAAGACUUUGGAGAAACUUUACGCUUCAGACAAUCUGUAGAGACUGCAAAGCUCUUUAAAUUAUAACGUCCCAAAUUGAAAUUAGUCCACGGUGUCCCAGCCCUUAUCCCGCAAAGCUGUUUUGCAGUUAGGGCUCGAAAACCAUGAAUGGCAUUGGAUUGAAUGCUUUGACUGCUUUCAUAGUCAACCCUUUAUUUUUCCUACAGCUUCCUGCUCAGUGCCAUGGCCUUUCUAGGAAGAAGGGUAUGCCAGGAAAUGCAGGUUGGGUGCUCUCAGGCUACCACCCUACUCGGGAAUUGUCUUCCUGUCAGCUGUGUGUGACUGGAUGGUAGGUGAAGGGCUUUUGGCUUGUUUCCACUGAGUCACCAGGACUCGGCUACACUGAUGACAGGGCCUCCCUCCUAGGGGCCCGGCUGUGUCUCAGGAUCCCAUUGGGAGUAGGACAAGAAAGUCUCAGGUAUGCUUGACGUUAUGCAGGUCAGUGUGGUCACACUUAUCCAAAGAAGAGAGGAUCCAAGAAAACCUUGAACAUUUAAGACUUUAAACUGUAUCUCAAAUGACACUGAACUAAUUUGUGCAGCAGAGGCCGUUUUGUUCUGCAGUCAAUUCCCUUCUCUCCCACAUCUUCUAACACUGAUUCUGCCUCCAAAACCCCAGGCCCCACCCCUUUAAAGAAGGUUUAGUUAAUUCCUAAAUUUACAUAUAAUUUUUCUAGUUUUCCCCUCCAAGAUCUUUUUGUUUCUGAUGCUCUACUGCAGCAGUUUUCUCCAGAAAGUUAUUUCAAUGCCUGGGCAAGGAGGAGGGUCUCCAGAUCCUGGAGAUCUGGAGAGUUUAAAUGAAAGUGUAUCCAAAGGAGGCCUCAGGUUUGGAGGAAAGCACUGGGAAGGGCAAAGAGAAGAAGGAACCCAGAUACAUUCUUUGCAAUAGUAAAAGGAUCAUGUAGAAGAAUCCAGGUUUUAAGUGUUUAGGGACGUGGGGCAAUGAAUAAUCAUUCCUUACCUGUACACGAUGAUUCCUGGUUUGUAAAGUUUUUUAAUAUGAUCUUAUUUUGACCCCUCUACAUUCUUGUGAGGUAGUAAGAGCAGGUGGUACUGUUCCUAUUUUACAGAUAAGGAAAAAUUUUCAAAGAGUUCGGCUGGAAUUCAUCCUCUGUCUGCUGGUACCGAAUUAAAAGGCAGAGACAGAUUUUUAG
rnacentral:lncRNA from 1 species